UAGCGUUGUUAUAUGCGAUGAUAGCGUA
rnacentral:sRNA from 1 species